rnacentral:lncRNA from 1 species
CGCGCUGGUGCAGUACCACGUCGUGUCCACCGCCAUCCCCAUGUCGCAGUUCGACACCGUCAGCAACCCGCUCCGGACGCAGGCAGGGAGCGCCUCCCCCGGGGAGUACCCGCUCAACGUCACCUCCGAGGGACAGCAGGUGAACAUCACCACGGGUGUCGUCAACGCCACCGUCGCCAACUCGCUCUACUCCGAAGACAGCCUCGUCGUCUACCAGGUCGACAAGGUGCUGCUGCCGCAGAAGCUCUUCGGCGCGGCGGAAGCGCCCGCGCCCGCGCCGCUCGCGCCGGCCAAGAAGAAGGGCAAGACGCCGGCGGCCGUCGCGGACUCGCCCGAGGCGGAGGCGGAGGCGUCCCCGGACGCGACGACCGCGUCGCUCGCGCCGGCGAGGUUGACGACGGGA